rnacentral:rRNA from 1 species
ACGGAAGGCAGCAGUGAGGAAUAUUGCACAAUGGGGGAAACCCUGAUGCAGCAACGCCACGUGUGGGAAGAAGCAUUUCGGUGUGUAAACCACUGUCGUGAGGGAAUAAUGCUUGGUUUCGGCCAAGUUGAAUGUACCUCGAAAGGAAGCACCGGCAAACUUCGUGCCGGCAGCCGCGGUAAUACGAGGGGUGCAAGCGUUGUUCGGAAUCACUGGGCGUAAAGGGAGCGCAGGCGGAGAUGCAAGCAGUCUGUACAAUACCGGGGCCCAACCCCGGACCUGCAGACUGGACUGUUUCUCUUGGAUAGUUCAGGGGCAAGCGGAAUUCCUGGUGUAGCGGUGGAAUGCGUAGAGAUCAGGAAGAACACCGAUGGCGAAGGCAGCUUGCUGGGGACUUAUCGACGCUCAUGCUCGAAAGUGCGGGUAGCAAACAGGAUUAGAUACCCUGGUA